rnacentral:rRNA from 1 species
UAGACCUACGGGAGGCAGCAGUGGGGAAUAUUGCACAAUGGGGGAAACCCUGAAGCAGCGACGCCGCGUGAGUGAUGAAGUAUUUCGGUAUGUAAAGCUCUCUCAGCAGGGAAGAAGAAAGACGGUACCUGACUAAGAAGCCCCGGCUAACUACGUGCCAGCAGCCGCGGUAAUACGUAGGGGGCAAGCGUUAUCCGGAUUUACUGGGUGUAAAGGGAGCGUAGACGGCUGUGCAAGUCUGAAGUGAAAGACCAGGGCUCAACACUGGGACUGCUUUGGAAACUGUGGAGAUAGAGUGCUGGAGG